rnacentral:rRNA from 1 species
AACCUCCGCAAUGUGAGCAUCGCGACGGGGGGACCCCAAGUGCCAUUCUUAACGGGAUGGCUUUUCUUGAGUGUAAAAAGCUCUUGGAAUAAGAGCUGGGCAAGACCGGUGCCAGCCGCCGCGGUAACACCGGCAGCUCUAGUGGUAGCCAUUUUUAUUGGGCCUAAAGCGUUCGUAGCCGGUUUAAUAAGUCUCUGGUGAAAUCCUACAGCUUAACUGUGGGAAUUGCUGGAGAUACUAUUAGACUUGAGGUCGGGAGAGGUUAGAGGUACUCCCAGGGUAGGGGUGAAAUCCUGUAAUCCAA